CUUAAGGUCCCUUGCAGCAGCAAGUCUAUGCUCCAUCAUCUGAUGUGAAUCAAUCUCUUCUGGUCUCCUAGCUGCUGGGAGGAGAUGAUUUUUCAGUUGGUCAUAAUUGUGAAACUAGAAGUAGAUGAACCUUUUAAAAAGUUCCUUUAGGAGUAGCUGGGUGGCUCAGUAGAUAGAGAGCCAGGUCUGGAGAUAGGAGGUCCUGGGUUCAAAUGUGGCCUCAGAUACUUCCUAGCUAUAUGAUCCUGGGCAAGUCACUUAACCCCACUGCCCAGCCCUUAUUGCUCUUCUGCCUUGGAACUGAUAUUCAGUAUCGAUCCCAAAAUAGAAGGUGAGGGUUAAAAAAAAUGUCUGGUCAACCUCUGAUAUUCUUUUCCUUAGUCUACUCUCCCUUGGUUUAAUUCCUUCACUGAGCAUAACUGGCACUAUUGAUGCUGUAAAGAGAUUGGGCCGUCUCCUUUGUCUUUUACCUUCAUUAAUACCUCCCCUCCCCCAACCCCGUGUGUGUGUGUGUGUGUGUGUGUGUGUGUGUGUGUGUGUGUGUGUGUGUGUGUAUACACACACACACACAUCCAGUCCUUGGUCUCAGGGAUCUGAUAAUCUAAUGACGGAGACAACAUACCAACAAUUAUGUACAAACAAUACAAAUACCAGAGAAAUGAGAGAAAAUUAGCUGUUGGAAGGCACUAGCAUUAAGGGAGAUCAGAUAGAAUUUUAACUGAGAUUUGAAGGAAGCCAAGACAUAGGAUAAUGGGGGAGAGAAUUCCAGACAUGGAGGAUAGUCAGUGAAAAUGUCUGGAGUUAGGAGAUAGAAGGAACAGCAGGGAGGUUGGGUGAUUGGGGAGGGAAGGGGAAGAAGAGAGCAUAAGGCAGAAGAACAGUGGAAAUUUAGAAGGACUUUUAAAGCCAAAUGGAAGAUUGCAUAUUUAUUCUCGAGGCAAUAGGAGUUUAUUAAAUAGGGAGAUGAAAUCUAUACUUUAUUUAUUUAUUUGUUUUUGAGGUUUUUUUUAUAAUUUAUUUUAUUUAAUUAGUUAGAGUAUUUUUCCAUGGCUACAAGAACCAUGUUCUUUCCCUCCCCUUCCCCGCAUGCCCCUCCCUUAGCCUAGAUGCCCAAUUCCACUGGGUUUUACAUGUGUCCUUAGAUCUAUCCUUUAGAAAGAUCUGUUUGACACUAGGGUAGAAGAAGGACUGUCGAGGCAGAAAUAUUGUGAAAAGUACAGGAGUGAGGUGAUAAGGCUCUAUAUCGUUGUAGUGGCAGUACCAGUAGGGUAGCUUAUAGAAGAGAUAAUGUUCUAGUAGAAUUAACAGGAUUUAGCCAUCAACAUAAUGAUGAUAAUUAAAUAACUGAAUGAAUGAGAAUAAUUGAAUACACAUGAGCUGAUGUGUUCCCAAAGUGAAAUAUUUUAUAGGGAAAAAAGAAAAGGGGCUACGUCAGAGCCUUGGGGGGAUACAAUGAAUUAGCAUGUCCAGAAUGGACACCAAGCAAAGGAAACAGAGGAGAGGCCAGACAGGUAGGAGGAGAACCAGGAGAAAGAGUUGAGUUAUGGGAAGCUAGAGAGAAGAGAAUGUCAAGAAAAAGGAAACCAAACAGUGUCAAAGGCAGUAGAGAAGUCAAGAAAAAUGAGGACUGAGAAAAGGCCAUUAUGGUGAUUGGGAAAUCACUGGAUGCUCUAGAUAAUCCCCCUCACUUUAAGAGGAAGGCAAAUGACCAAGGUCUGUGGUACAUUGAUCUCAGAAGGGAGAAGGCCAAGACAUCUCCUCAUUGUAUAGUUUUCUUUCACCAGACUAGAUUUACUUAAGAUGCAUUGGGGUUGUAGGAGAAAUGAUUACUUGUAAAGCCAGACAAAAAAAUGGAUGAAAUAUAUGUAGUUUGUGCUUUUUAAGCUACUGUAAUAUGUUUUAUUUGUGUUAAUUGCUAUGAAACUGCUUCUUUACUGAGUACAGUUUUGACAUAUAUACAGAAAUAUAAUAUUUGGAAUAUGCUACAGAUAUAUAGUUCCUUGACAUAUACUAAUAUUAUAAGAACAUGAGACCUAUACAUUUAGCUAUUGUAUGUAACUGCGUGAUAAGAUUAUGUAUGGAGAUCAUAAUUAAGGGACACUGUCCUUUGUGUCCUGUGAAAUACCAACAUCUGGCACAACAGACAUUUGAUGUGUCCCAUUUAUUCCAAUAUCAAAUCCUUACUAGAUUGACCUGAGUCGGGCCACAUCCAGAACACCCACAGGUCAAAUUUUCUUAGGAUUCUGUCCCCUAGAUUGUGGGUUUUGAAGUGGUUCCACACUUGAAUUUCAUAUUGUCAUGCGUUCCUUUUUGAGCUGAGGUCAUAGUUGGGAAGUUGUCCUCUUUCAAUUGAACUUGGCCAAGAGACUUACUUAGUCAUCAUCAGUCUCUGUAUCUGCUCUCUCUUCUGAGACUCUAAAUCACAAGUUAAGAGGUUAAGGUGGGAGACAGCUAGGUGGUUCAGUGGAUAGAGCCAUCUGGCCAGGAGAGAUUUGGAUUGGGUUGGAUUCAAAUCCAGUCUCAGAUACUUCCUAGCCAUGUGACCUUGAGCAAGUCACUUAACCCCCAUUGCCCAGCCCUUACUGCUCUUCUGCCUUGAAAUAAAUACUUAGUAUCAAUUCUAAGGUAGAAAGUA
rnacentral:lncRNA from 1 species